UUUCUUUUAUUUUUUCAGACAAGUGGAUGCAGGGAGCCAAAAAGGUUUUUGCACCAUGCCCCACGGAAAUCUCGGCGAGUGGUGGUAUCGAUGAUUCGACGACAAGAGAGGGCAUUUAACCAAGCCGCAACCUCCGUUUAUCCCAGGAAAUCUGGGAUGGCGUUCCAUCUACACUCUCCCGCCAUUGAUGGAUGUCCAACCAUCCAGCCAUCUACUUCCCCGGGCUGCAGCAUGAGGUGACUUUGGACCAUGGAGCAAGUUAUGUUUCUCAGGCCUAACUUUGGUGUUCCAAACUUCCGAUACUCAACCACCAGGAGCGUUUCUUUCUUUCCUUGUAAGUACAGGCACAAGGGUACCCGUGUGAGUUCUCAGUCCACCGGGAAGCCAGUAGUCUCAAUCUCUUGUUGCUACCAAAAUUCAAGACCAACGAGAAAACCCAACUUCGCCAACUUCAGUUUCAGACUACCCAUCACCCCAUUUUGCGUUUUGGUCCCCUUGGUGCACAGUUUCAGGGAUUUCUUGUCUAUAGGAUUGAAGCCCGUCUUUGAAAAAUGGGCUCUCGGCAUGAAGUUCUGUGAUCAGACGGACAUUUUGAUAGGGGAAGACAAAUUCGGGGUCCUCGAAUGCGGCGGAAUCGGGAUGGCCCUCCUCAGCACCUCCUUGGUGGCGAAGGCCCACAUUAGCCCUGUGCUCGCGACGUUGGCAGCGAACCCGACGUUCGUUUCGGGGCUAUUUGCGUGGGCAAUAGCUCAGUCUAUGAAGUUCCUGCUACAUUUCUGCGUAGAAAGGAAGUGGAAUUUCCAGGUUUUGGUGAGUUCCGGGGGAAUGCCUUCUUCCCACACCGCGCUCUGUACCGCCUUGACGACUUCGGUAGCUCUCUGUCACGGAAUCAGCGAUUCGCUUUUUCCAGUCUGCCUUGGUUUUUCUCUUAUCGUCAUGUACGAUGCUACCGGCGUUCGGCGGCAUGCCGGUAUGCAAGCAGAGGUUCUCAAUAUGAUUGUUGAAGAUCUAUUUAAAGGGCAUCCUUGCAGCGAAAAGAAACUCAAAGAACUCCUUGGUCAUACUCCAUCUCAAGUUAUUGCUGGGGCUUUUCUUGGCAUGCUCAUUUCCUACCUCUGCUGCAACAAUUGCCUAGUUGGAAUAUAAGAUGGAUAAAGCUGCGAUCUUAUUUAUCAAUUUUACCAGAUGGUUCUCAGCAAAGGAAAAUCAUAUCAAAUGGUGUACUUUCUAAUCAUAAUGGGAAAGUAUUGAAUAGUGUGAUUUUUAAACUAGUGAAAUUGACCAAUCCAGUGUUGCAAUGAUGACUGAUCACUGAUCAGAGCAACCACAAUAUGUUUAGAGCAACCGCAAUAUGUUCAUGCUCAAUAUUGACUGCAUACAUGUGACUGACUGAAUGUUUGUUCAACAUAAAAUAGUGGCUUCGUGGAUUUUUAUCAGAUCAUGCUAGCCUAUAUCUUUUGGUCAUUGAACGUAUUGACUUUUGAGAUUGAAAUAAGUUAUUUGUAUCGAUGUUUUGUAUUAGGGAACACAUUUUCAAUUGGUUCAUUAUGCAAUUCCCAAUUAAUUUGGACUUUCUGCUUGGGAAGACAGAAGGCAGUUAGCGAGAGCCGUAGGCGAGCGGAUGAGGAAAGAUCAAUCCUGUUUAUCAUUUUUGAUCUACAUAUUUCUACUGGUUCUUCAAAUUAACCCGGCUGGCACAUAUAACCAGUAAAAGAUUGAACUUGAACACUAUAUUUGUUCAAGAAGCAAGAAGGCCAACAACAAAUCUUAAUGCAUGGUUAGGUGGAAGAAGUUCAAGCUGGAGGACAUUGUGAGUUUGAUACCUGGGGUGUUGUUUUUGCCAUAACAAUGAAGAAAGGGGGACCCCGCUAGUGGUGGGGAAGGGGUUUCAGGACGGGCUUGAAGUUUGAACCACUAGUGGUGGUGAAGGGGUAUCAGGACGGGUUUGAAGUUUGAACUCUGGAACAGUGAAGCACUGCCGUCUUUGUGGCACCUCUGGGCUUGUGCUGUAUGUCCAAAUCCAGUUGUGGUUUCUCCUGAAAGGUUAGGUGAACUGAACUCUCCUUCAGUGAGGUGCAAAAUUUAGAAUCAGAUUACCAAAUGCAACAUUCAGUACUGAUCAUAAAAAUAAAAUAAACUGUAGACCUAUGUCAGCUGCAAAAAUGGACCACCAACCAUGGAUGCUGUAGGCGGGCAAGACUGAUGAGGUUUACUAGAAGACACCAUGUGUACAGUACAUGUAGAGGGGUAUUUAUGUGUAGAGCUCACAUGCAUGUAUUCAUGUUCACAUUAGCAUCUGGUGCUUACAUUUUGAUGAGGGCGACUAUUCUCUUGGUGGGUAUUCCUCUAGUGGUGGUUGAGAUGUUUUUUUGGUGCUAUGACGUGUGAUAUCAUGGCGAGUUCAUAAAUACAAAACAAUCUUCUAUAGAAAUUCUUGUUGAUAAAUCCUUCUGUCUAAUCACAAAAGGGAGUCUCUUCGGAGACAUCCUAUAAUCACAAAAAGGAUACUUUGUCAUUGUGAACUCUUGCACAUGUUUUAUUUUCGUCUAUUAUUAUUAUUAUUUGGAUAAGGAGUGCAUGUGUGUCUUAUUUGCAAUUUACACACGUUUUUACUUUUGUAUCUGCGUCAAUGUUGUAAACAGGUUCCUUUUUUUUUUUCAAUUAGAAACAAAGUUCUUAUGCUAGUCUUUAUUGCUAUAU